GUGUGUGUGUGUGGGCGGGGCCAAAAUGUGUUGCUGUGAAAAUGUCAUUUGGGGGUGAGAUUCUGGACUCGACAACAACCGGAGGUCUGCUGGGAGCUGCUAACCGGAGCGGCGGCAGGGAGCGCCGUCCUGGGUGAGACAUCCACCCCCCCAGGAGAAAGCGGCGCUGCUCCCGUCUGUCAGUCGUGUUUAUGUAUUUGUUUAUGUGUGUUGAAGUCAUCGGUUAAAGUGCGUCUCCGGUGGGCGGUGCCGCUGUCAUGAUGUUUGGAUCUGCUGAGAUUGCCUUCCAUCACGUGAUGCUGGACUCUUUACUACAAACCAGGUGAUAAAUGAAAUGUGAUUUUUGUAACUUAAAAGACAGAGUAAGAAGUAACGGGUAUCAUUUUUCCAUGAGACUAAAAACAAAAAUAGCUUUUUGUGCUAGCUGUUCUAUUUAUAGCUGACUGGGUGUCUUUCCAGUGGAGAGAUCAAAGUUUAGGAAGUGGAACAGGCGAGGGCUGAUGGAUGACAUGGCUAACAUGAACACACUGCCCUCUGGAUGGAGUAAAAAUAGCUGACAGGAAAAACAACACAUGCACGUGUCAUUAAAGCAUGUAAACAGGUCAGUCACCAGUAACAGAAUUUACUAAAUACAUAGGUUGGUUUCUGUUGCAUGUGAAAACCUGUAGGAAAUGGCCUCGGUUAGGAUAAACAGAUUAGUUCUUAUUUAUUUAUUUUUAUUUAUUUAUUUAUUUAUUUUAUUCUGUUUUAGUACUUACCAGUACUACUGCAGGUCAAACACAGGCAUAGUACACAAUUUGCAAAACUUCCUUUCCACAAGUUUACCUCAAAACAAACCAAAAAGAAGGAGAAAGUUAUUGGACCAGGAACCAAAAAGGAGAUCCCAGACAAGCCCCCACUUUGUUUAUCCUAUCCUUUUUUUAAUUUCUCCACGUCCCUGCCAUCCCUUAUAAAAGGAGAAAGAGGAGCAUAACAAUGGACGAGGUAAUGGAAACACAUAAUGUGGGCAGUUAAAAUGUCCAUCCAUCCAUAAGUCCAUCCACUCUUUCUUUCUUUCUUUCUUUCUUUCUUUCUUUCUUUCUUUCUUUCUUUCUUUCUUUCUUUCUUUCUUUCUUUCUUUCUUUCUUUCUCCAUCAUCCAUCCAUCUAUCCAUCAAUUAUUCAUCCAUCUAUCCAUCAUUCAUCCAUCCAUCUAUCGAUCCAUUAUUCAUCCAUCUAUCCAUCAUUCAUCCAUCUAUCCAUCCAUUUAUCAAUCUAUCCAUCAUCUAUCCAUCCAUACAUUCAUCCAGCCAUCCAUUUAUUCAUCAAUCCAUCCAUCCAUCCAUUUAUUCAUCAAUCCAUCCAUCCAUCCAUGCAUCUAUCUAUCCAUGCAUCUAUCUAUCCAUUUAUUCAUCCAUCCAUCCAUUUAUUCAUCAUCUAUUCAUCAUCCAUCCAUCCAUGUAUUCAUCCAUCCAUCCAUCUAUUCAUCCAUCUAUUCAUCAUCCAUCCAUCCAUCUAUCUAUCUAUCUAUCUAUCUAUCUAUCUAUCUAUCUAUCUAUCUAUCUAUCUAUCUAUCUAUCUAUCUAUCUAUCUAUCUAUCUAUCUAUCUAUCUAUCUAUCUAUCUAUCUAUCUAUCUAUCUAUCUAUCUAUCUAUCUAUCUAUCUAUCUAUCUAUCUAUCCAUUUAUUGAUCCAUCCAUCCAUUUAUUCAUCCAUCCAUCCACCCAUCCACCCACCCAUCUACUCUCCAGAUCCUGUGACCCACAGACGGGCUCUGAGCUUUUGUCCACAGCUCUUCAGCGCCCUGUCCACUUGCACGUGGAGUCAGCAGCACCAUGCGUUGGGCAUGGUGUGCGACACGUGGGAGACAACGCUCAGGUGCUCAGAUGGAAAUCUUGUCUUGAUUGAUUUAGUUGCUUCCAUGAUGAACUCUGUGUGUAACGUUUAUAAUGUCUGCACACCUGCAUGAGUUGGGGUGUGAAUUCCAAUCCGUCACAAUAAUCGACAGACUUCAAAUUUUUUUUGUCACCGUAACAAAAACUGUCAAUAUGGAAAAUAUCCAGUCUGUCCAAGUCUCCCCCGUCCUUUCGGCCCUCAUAGACAAAUCGCCAAGACUGAAGUGUAGAAAAAGACUCAGGACAACCUCAUGUUUUUUUUUAUUUAUUUUACAGUUACAACCAACUUACACAAUGUCAUAGCACUCCCAGUCAGAAGAAUCCCAUAGAAGUCGACAAAUGCUUUUUAUUGGUCUUGCAUGUUUAGGCUGAGAACAUCUUUAUGCUGGCGGUGUAGGCAGCUCCACAGAUCAAUUCUCUGAGUCUGCACAAGCCAAACACGCUUUGAUCACUCUGAUCCCUUUACAUUUCCCACACAGCCAGAAGGCUGUUCCUCUGUUCUCUCAAUCCUCCACAAGCUCAAGCUUUUUGUUCUCUGGAAGCUACAAGUGAAAAAUAUAUUUCCACAACACUGAAAUCCAACCAAUCCAGAGUGAAGCUGAAGAAUUCCUCAGUGUGUCCCAGUCCUAUUGAUGAGCCAUAGAUCUGCAGAUAAUGUGACACAUCUGUGUGGUAAAUACGUGGUGGAGAACCGACACAGACAAUCAUGUUGUUAACCCUUUUAGUGCUGGGACAUGAAGACAUGCCACCGUGUAGAGGAGCGGCCAGCUCAUAAGCUGCUCUCCUUUAUUUUCUCUGCUCUUGUUCCUGGGGCCGUUUGCAUAAUUGUGAUUGUGUUCUAAUGCUCUGCUUCUUUUUUCCUGCAGCACUACUGACCUAUUUACAUUAGGAGCAAAAUCAAACAAGUAAUCCGACAGAGGCACGUAAGCAUUCAUGCAAACCAUAACCCAAUAAACUCUGUCAAUGUUUGACGGAACAAAAACCUUCCUAUUUAUAACACGGCCCUCUUACUUCCUGUUUUAUAUCAGAUGCUUUUCCACUCAUUCUUUUACCGGGUUGACGUCUGAUUGGCCAGAUGUUAGAGAGGGUUUUGUAGUCUGUGAAACAGUAUCUGCUCCCUCACAGAUUCCUAAGGGGGCAAAUACAGAAUCUUAAAAAAAUGAAAACUAUAUUUUCUAUUGGCUCAGGUUAUGUUUCUCUGAUCUAGUGAUCUGAAAUCUGUAAGGGGUCAGAUACUUCCUGGCGGCGCCCUCAGGACUCCUUACAUAUUAAAGAGGAAGUUCAUGUGAUAGGCUGGUUCCUGGAGCUCGGCUAAGAAAUCUUCCGUCCCACGUUUUUCUCCCCAUAUGUUAAAUGUUCUAUCGCUGGGUGCAGCUGAGCAAGUGCCACCAACUGGAGAGCACCAGGUUCACCAUCGCUUGUGUUACAAAGCACCUCUGAGUGCUUAUGUAACCAAAGCUCUCUCUGGCGAUGGUGUGCCUUUAAAACCAAUGUGUUGUCAGGUGAUCAGGGAGGCUCGGUCAGCUCAGCCUCACAGACAGACGAGCUGGAGAGUGUCUGUGGCCGGCAGCCGAGCGCCAGAGAGGGAGAGACCCAAUUCUGAGGGGACGUAGGGGGGAAAUGAGGACACGGCCACGUCACAGAGUGGGGGGACAGGGAGCCGUGGUGGUAGGGUCCCUUUAACUGCAGUCUGCUCAUGCUCACUGUCCUUCUGAGGCAGCUAGCAAGUGUGUUUGUGGCUCAGCUCGAUCAAGAAGCUGCGUUUGUGUAAAAAGCACCGAGAAUUAAGUGCUGCGUCACACUCAGGAAGAGGAAUAGUGUGAUUGUGCACGCGUGUGUACAGCUGUGAAUGCACAUACACAUUACUACAGCCUGUGUGUGUGUGUGUGCAUGCAUGUGCGCAGUGGCAGUCCAAUAGCAGUUUUUGCUGUUGCAACAAGAUGAAAGUAAAGAGUGUGUGUGUGUGUUCCAGUGGCGAGCAGAAAGGAAGAGAAAGGGGAGACAGAGAGGGAGGGCGAGCAAGCCGGAGAGUGAGGGUGAGAGAGCGAUUCAGAUUAGUUGCUACGUCACUUUUUCAUGUCGGGAGAAACAGAAGCUUGUGAUAACAGAAGCCCAGAGUCAUCGUCAGUCGAUUCUCCACCCGGUGUGGGCACGGAGGGUUCGGACAGCCUCGCCUUCCUCCUCCUCUUCCUCCUCGGUAGUUUUGAUGUGCUCUGCCUGUCGUUGCUCUAGGUGUGUGUGUGAGUGCUGCGUAGUUUCUGUGUGCCGGUGUCAGAGUUUGAACAUGGAUGCUGAGGCUGUGACACAGUUUUACCAGGUCUAGGUGAGGCGGCGCUGGGUAGGCUAGGCAGAGGUGUGACCGAGGGAUUAACAGAAGAACAUUCUGGAGGGGUUCUGGUAUCGCUCUGGCAGGAAGGGUUUGCUGAGAGGUACUCUGCUUUUGUUGCUGUUGCUGCCACCAUCAUCUGGAAUGCGGAUGAUUAUGUUGUAAAUAGGUGACUAGAAUCAGCAUGGCGGCGUCCCACCCUCUUAUGGAACAGAGUCCAGAUGCAGACAGGUUGAGCGAACAGCAAAUCAGAGGAAAUUACAUAAUAAAUGCAGCUGUUCACGACGCCACGUCUCUGUAUCUGUUGGCUAACUCUUAUUGAAGUUAGAGCAAAGACUCAGCAUCCGCAGACAGACACGAAGGCAGAGACUGUCAGGGAUCCGAUAACAGUUUGUACCUGAUGUUACUUAGUCGUGUGAUUUGUUUUCACCCUCCAGAGCCGGUGGGACUUGGUAAAACCCUUCCCAAGACACAUUUGUUUCUGCGUAGUUAGGAGAGACAGAGACGAUGGUGACGCAGUUGCUUCUGGGCUGGACUUCUCUGCAACCGCAGGCCGUGCGUCUCCCCAUCUCUGCUCUCGCUCUGUUUAUCUGUCUAUCUGUCUUUCUGUGUCCUAGACAAAAGGAGGAAAAGCAGAGGGGGCUAAAUGUCGUGGAUCAGGAUCAGAAAAGGCAGAGAGGAGACCAGGAAGAGCAGGGAGGCUGUAACCAGGAGGAGAGGGAAGUUGUUUACCUUGUUCUUUUUAGUGACUCUGCUUUGGCUUCUCUCCAGUUUACAUGUGCUGGACUGGACUUCCUAAAGCUGCUGCAUCACGGGCCUUCAUCGCAAAGCUGGAUUCUCAUUGGCUGGGAGGAGCUUCCCUGGCUGCAAACGCUGCACAGCAUUGUUUUAUUGGCUUAAGCUUGCUGGCAGCUGCCGGCUGACCUCUGAAUGGCUGGAAAACGCUCCGUUCAACCAAGGCUCUGCACUAUUUGUGCUGCAUGCUUACAUAGCUCGACUUGAUUAUCGUUAAGGUUUAAGUAACUAAGUGGUUUUUGUAUUCAAACUGAAAAACACGGAGACAAAAAUGUGACAUCUACUCAGUUCCUUUCUUCACACGACGCAGCUUUAUUCUGCUGAGGGUUUGGCUGGAAGGUUCUGUAAAGAAGCUAACAGUCAGCGCUAAUGAUGACGAUUGUGCUCCAAUUUAUUUUAACCGAGUCAGAUUCCCAGGAAACACGCUAAGGUUUAGAGUGACAUAUCUGUUUCGUUCUAGGAAAUCAAAGGGCGUGUGUUCUCGUCUCACCACUCUGAGGCAGGAACCUCAUAAAAUAACACAACUUCCUGGAUGAUUUAAAGCUUAAAGCUCUUCUGCUUUGAAAAUCUGGCUUUUCAGACGCCACAUUUCUGAGAUGAUGUAAGCGCGUGUGUGGCUGACUGGUCUGCAUUGCAGUUUCUGCCUCGAUGUUGGUGUGUGUCUGUUUUUUUGUUUUGUUUUUUUCAGAUGAGCUGAUUAUAAUUAAACUCUAUGCCUUCA